CCUACGGGAGGCUGCAGUGAGGAAUAUUGGUCAAUGGGCGCGAGCCUGAACCAGCCAAGUAGCGUGAAGGAUGACUGCCCUACGGGUUGUAAACUUCUUUUAUAAAGGAAUAAAGUGAGGCACGUGUGCCUUUUUGUAUGUACUUUAUGAAUAAGGAUCGGCUAACUCCGUGCCAGCAGCCGCGGUAAUACGGUGGAUCCGAGCGUUAUCCGGUUUUCUUGGGUUGAAAGGGAGCGUAGAUAGGUUGUUCAGUCAGUUGUGAAAGUUUGCGGCUCAACCGGAAAAUUGCAAUUGAUACUGGCAGUCUAGAGUACAGUAGAGGUAGGCGGAAUUCGUGGUGUAGCGGUGAAAUGCUGAGAUAUUACGAAGAACACCGGUUGCGAAGGCAGCUUACUAGACUGCCACUGACAUUGAGGCUCGAAAGUGUGGGUAUCAAACAGGAUUAGAUACCCGAGUAGUC
rnacentral:rRNA from 1 species